rnacentral:lncRNA from 1 species
AGCAAAUAAUCUCCCUUAUGUUAAACAAAACAAAAACAAAAAGAGGAAGAAACCAUUAGCUCUUAUCUUAGACCAGGAAUACAAUUUUAAACCAGAAAUUAAAAUUUAUAUAGCAAAGACCUUUAAAUUGUUCUAAAUUAAACAAUUUGAUUUUCAUUGCUUUCCGUUGGGUUAUUUCCUAAUUUGACCGCGACAGUGUAAUUUGUGGAUUUUAAUUAUAUUGUCUACCAUAAAGGCGAAGGAAAAGGCA